AUACUUACCUGACGCGAGAGGCACCUUGAUCAACUAGGAGGUCCUCUCAGGAUGAGGCCCUUUCAUUGCACUUCGACUGGGUUGACUCCUGCGAUUACCCCUAAUGUGGGUACCUCGAGCGUAUAAUUUCUGGUAAUGGGGACCUGCGUUCCCGCUCAUCCCCU